GCACGCGUACUCGAACAGCUGGUCGGAACACGAAUCGCCGCAGGAAACAUGUGACGUCAGUUUAAAAACAUUUCGAAAACAAAUAUCAAUUUUAAGAUGACCGACCGACGAUAUUAAGCAAAAAACAAAAAAACAAACGAGAACGAGUGCGGUCGAUUAUCGGCAAUAACCUUUGAUAUGAUUUACGAACGCGUUUCCAAUUGAGAGCAGAGUCUCCCUAAAUUGAUGAAAACGUCGAGGGCCAUCUUCUUUUGUCACAGUCGUUCGAACAUUCCACAGAUCCCAUCUACGUCUCUCUUUCUCGCUGAAGUGGUCCCUUCAUGAACGGAAAAUCUUUUCCAUGUAAAUAAAUAGGGAAAAAAGCCAACCCACACGUGCCCUACCGGCAAGUAGGAACAACCACCAGCAUAACCAAUUUCAAGCUCAAACGAGUUCAGUUGGUUUGAUCGUGUGCACGCUUGUCAGACGUGCUGUGUUGGUUUUUUUUUCUACCCAAACUUUUCUCGUCUUCUUUCGUUAUCCGUCAGGCUGUUGAUUCCAGCCAACGCCAUCUAACGCUUAGAAAGUGCUACAACGUUUUGAAAGCCAUCUGUUGCUGGGACUUGGCGACACACAGAAAGCGAGAGUAACAGGCAGCCAAACCAGAUGGACGGACAGACGGAUGAAACAGACGGACAAACAUGCAGCGAGAGAGUGAGAAUCAGGACCCACCUGAUGACGUCGGCUGUAGUGAUGAUGACGAUUGCGGAUCACGUUGUGACUGAUGGGAUGGACGACGUUGCCACUGUCGUCGUCGUUGGACGUUUGGGCCGAAUGCAACGACGGACUAGGUGAGCUUAGUUGCUGCAGAGAAAUGGACGGCUGGACUUGAUUGACUUCGGAGAGAGGGGACGCCUCGCCGGCAGAAGCGCUGACGCCACAAACGAUGGAUGUUGACGUUCCAGCCUCGUCGUUGCUGCUGAAUCCCAACUCCGUGCCGUACACCGAAUGGACAAAUUUCCACAAUUCCUGAUUACCCAACGGCUGCAAAUGUCGGAUCGUUUUUGUUUUUCCCGUUAGUUUCGUGUUGUCCGAAAGAGGAGAAACAGAGCCGCCGACGGUGACGACCACGAACGAACGAAGGCGUGUGAAAAACACAAAAAACAAAAAACAAAAAAAAACCAACGAACCGAGACGGAAGCGUCGUAACCAAUCAGAGAGAAAUGAGAGUGAGAGAAAAAAUCAUCCACGAUUGUGGUGGGGAAAGAAGGAAGUAAAAUGGAAAGUAGAAUAAAACAAAACACAAAAAAACUCUCGACUUUCGACUCCAACCCCUACAGCCCCCCCCCGUUUUGCUGCACUGGCCUCAAAAACUAGCCAAUAGAUGGUAGUGACUGUGUCGGUUGGCGACCGUUUUGUUGGUGCUCACAACAAGCUGGGAUGCGCCAUCAAUUCAGGCAAAAGAAGCAUCAAAGAGUUACGGGGCUCUAGUGGUGUGGUAGUAGCCUAUGUAUAAUGCAAGUAAAAAGAAAUCAAUACAAACCUGAUCAAGAAGAGCUUGCUGCCAAGUUCUGAAGAGGACGACGUAGGUUUUGUCACGGGCACCAAAAGAACAGAAAAAAUGCUUAUCCGCAUCGGUGCAGAUCUGGAUUGCAUUCGGGAUCACCAGAGCCGUCUUUUCUUUUGUUAGCGAAGACACUUCUUUCCAUCGAAGUUGCACCUUUUUUAUUUUAUUUUUUUUCGAUUUUCAAGUCAAAAGAGAGAAAACGUAAAAGGGAAAUUGAUCAGAUUAAUGGGAAUCAAUAAAUCGCGAUUGAUUUUU
rnacentral:lncRNA from 1 species